CAAUUCCUUCAAUCCCCUCAUGUGAAACCCGACGCGGGAUCCGUUUACAUCCAUUCGGGUCGACUUUAUUACAUACCAUAGAUAAACAAUCUUCAUCUUCUCUAAUACGGCAACAAGGUCGAUUAGGGUUUAUGAUCAGCCGCUCUCCCCUCUGUUCCUUUUCUACCUUUGUUCAAUCUAGAAUUUUGAUAAUUGUCUCUCGCUCUUAUGAUCGUAUCCACCUACAACUUGAAAAUCAAUCCGAUUGUAUGGUAUCAACAUUACUUCGAACCCUAAUUCGCAUCACUGAAAGAUCUUCAAUAACAAGUUAAUUUGUUUGUGAUGAUCAGUUUUCACAUUAUACAUUAGUGAACAAAGCAUUCUUGAAGACAAAGAACUUAGAUGUCUUUUGAACCCACUUGCUCACGUAAAUCUUUAGUAUUACGUGUGCAUUUGAUGAAUCUUGGAAGACUUGGGAGCUCGGGGUGGAAUUAUUUCCGACGUUGGACUUCUUUGAGACACAAAUGUCAUCCACACCAAGUAAGGCGUGGUAAAAGCGAAAAGGAAGAAAGAUCGGUAAGGCUCAUGAUCAGGUUAGUUGCUUAAUCUUUGAUAAUGAAAUUUGUCAAAACGUGUGACUAACUCAAUGUUCUAGAUAACAAAUCACCCGCGACAACGAAGGCUGCAUCCGAAUUUUUCCCCACAACUUCAGCACGUCAUAAAAGAGGUCAUAUCGCAGUGUGGUGACGUCGAAGUGAGCAACUGUAGUAGAGUCGGUGGUCUCAGAUGUUGGCGAGACAGGGGUUUAGGUCUGAAUUGCACUGAUGGUUGCUAAGGUGUGGAUGAUGCCGACGACUAGGGUUGUUGUCGAGUGUAGAUGGUGGUUGAUUGGAAUUUAGGCUUUUGCGCUAACUCUCCAUUGGAGUAGUCGAGAAUCGUCAUCAAUCAACAAACACCAGGUGAAAGCCAUUAAGCGGCUAUGAUGGGAUUUCUUGCUUUUUUUUUAUAAGAAAGGCGAUUCUAACCUUUGAAUGAUUACCUUUGGAUGGUGCGUUCAAUGGUCAUGUACUUGACUAUUGUUUUGCAAGGCUACCAUGGUUGUUGGGCUGGUAAUGUUGUUAGAUUUGUGUUGAUAUGGUUACCUAUGAGUUUUACAACUUCCUUCCUUUCGCCUUUUCAGUUUUUUUAUACAUCUUAUAUACAUCUUAUAUGCUGGUCUUUCUUUGAAGGAUUUUGCACAUGAGCAUUUUUAUGUUUCUUGAGGAAUCGUCCUAUCUAGCCAUGAUGGAUUAUGUUUGAUAUCAAUGUCUAUGAUGAUUUGUAUGAGUUCAAAGAAACAUGAAUUUUUAUGUCUAUUGGUGCGACAACUAAGGUAUUUUUUUGUUUAGAAGGCAAUCUCUUAGUAUGCAGCCAUAGAGCAUAAUCUUUAUUUCUUAAAAUCUUUGCAUUUCUGAGCCUAUGAUGUUACGUUUUUUAAGGUUAUUGACGCUUAUAUUUUUUCCAUCCACGGUAGUUGUUCAUGUUUGUAGGAUAUGGUGAUGGGUUUGAGGUUAAAUGCGAAUGAAUUUACUUUUACCAUGAUUGUGUGUCUGUGGGCUAUGAUAAUUUGUUUUAGUUCAAAGUAAGCUGAGUUCGGUUUUAAGUUCUGGAAUAAUUUAUUUAUCAAUGUAACUUCAUGUGCGUAUGCUUCACAAAAUGAUGAAGGUAUGAUCUACAUAUAUAAUGCUUACUUACACAAGCUGGUAACAUCUUUUCUAUCUCAUCCACUUGCAAGAUACAAGGUUAGUCAUGUUCAUGUUCCUUGAUAAUUUAUUGACAUUUGAUACUACACCAUCUUUUGAGCUUUAGUGAGUAAGAUGAUUUAUGCUCUAUAUGAUGUUUUUUCACAUGGUUGGUAGGUGAAAGGAACAGAGGAGAUGGCCACACCUUCUCAGAAAAUUAGAUGAAAAUCUAUAUAGCCCUGAAAAUUGUUGGUACCUUUGUUCCUUUUAUGUUCAUCUUCUCCGCGCUUUGCGAGGCGUGUUUUCUGCCAGUACUGGAUCGGUUCGUUACUUUAUCGGUACGAUGCCGGCAUUCAGUAUAGCAACUGACCAUCAGUUGAAAACCAUAAAAAUGCAUGUCGAUACUAGUUUUUAACAGCUUUGGUUUGGAGAAACAGAAGGCUCUUCAUCUUGGAAUGCUGCCACAGCCCAUGUCUUGACAGGUAAGUUCUAAAUCCCCCUUGAUGUUGAUUAUUUUCUUGCUUAUCAAUUAGUUAAGGGUUUUUUUUUAAUGUUUGAUUUGUAUUUAUUUAGUUUAAUGCAUUGCCUUUUUAAAACUCUAUAUUCUCAAGAGCCCUUAUGUAAUGUUAAAAGUUUUAUAAAUUUAACUUGAAUUGAUGAGAUGUCGAGAGAAAUAGAGAAUGCGGGGAGAACUGGCCUACAUAAAGCAGAUGACAAAAUUGAAACAUCAUCUUCAAUAAAAUGGAAUUAUAUACUACCAAAAAAACAAACAACAGCUGCUAAGAAGAGGGGCAGAGUACAAAACCACCACUAAAACAAGAGAACUACAUUAAUUAAAAGAUAAGGCGUAUGACCAAUCCAAAUUCUCAGAAUUCGACUAGGAAUAAGUGAAACCCCAAGGCUAAAUACACCCUUUAUUUCGUUGUCUUUGUGGUUUGUAACACAACCAGUCUAUUAAUUAUUGCUAUGGAAAGACUAACCAAUAUAGUAUCUUUUACAUAUGUUGAUUUAUAGUUUUAUAUAUAAGUUUUGGUGCUUAGUGAUGGUUCGGGUCGGAUCAUGGAUAAACUUUGUCAACGACAUUCAACUACGGUCAAUCACAGUCAAGAGUGGUCCAUCUGAAGGUUGUUAUAGUUAAUAUCAUCCUAGGCACUCAUGUAUGGGCAGAAGACCUAGCAGUAUGUUGAGUGGUGGAGGUUGCGACUAAUUUUGUUGGUGAUCAUUCACGUUACAACCUUCUGAAUAGGAAAUCAUUUUUUUUUUGUGUUAUUUUUCUUGAUUCGUAAGCCAUCAUCCUCAUCUAUGCUUCUGUUUUGGGUUGCGACUGGACCUGAUAACCAAUUGGUUGCUUUAUGUGGUUUUAUUCGCUGAUGGUUUGCCCAGAGCCGAAUUUCGAAGGUAUUGUUUGUUCUACUAUUUCGGAUAGGUCUAUUACUAUUCAUUUAUUUGUUAUUUUAACUCCAUACAUAUAUAUUGUAGAAGAAAAUACAGUUAUUUUUUUGUUGCAAAAACCACAAAGAAACAACUUUGAAAUUUUGCUUGAA